AUUGCCAUAGAAACAUCUAGUGCAUUGGCUUACCUUCAUGCUUCUGACAUCAUUCAUCGAGAUGUGAAAACAGACAACAUUCUCCUUGACAACGAUUUCAGUGUGAAAGUUGCAGAUUUUGGGCUUUCCAGAUUGUUCCCAAUUGAUGCUACUCAUAUCUCAACUGCUCCACAAGGAACUGCUGGCUAUGUUGACCCUGAAUACUACUACUGUUACCAGCUAACUGAUAAGAGCGAUGUCUAUAGCUUUGGUGUUGUCCUUGUUGCUCAUAUCAUCAAUACCCGCUGUUGAUAUAACAAGGCAUAGGGAUGAGAUUAAUUUGGCCAAUUUAGCAAUAAAUAAGAUUCAAAGGUGUGAAUUUGAUGAGUUGAUUGACCCAUCUCUUGGGUACAAGUUAGACAAGGAAGUUAAAAGAAUGAUAACUUCAGUUGCAGAGUUGGCUUUUCUAUGUUUACAACGAGGUAAGGAAAUGAGACCUUCUAUGGAUGAUGUACUGGAGCAACUACAGAGAAUUGAAAGUGCAGA
rnacentral:misc_RNA from 1 species